UGACUCUGACACCCUUCAAGGUUACAAGUUUGGGUAAAUCCCUUCUUUGCUUCAGUUUUCUCUAGUAAGUGGAUGAGAGUCUUUCUAGAUGGAUUCUGAAGAUUCCGCUCUGAAUUUUAUAACUUUUGCUGUUUUAGGGGUUAAUAACAUUCAAGGAUGUGGCUGUGGACUUCACACAGGAAGAGUGGUGCCUAUUGGACCAUUCUCAGAAAGAGCUGUACCAGGAGGUCAUGCUGGAGAAUGUACAAAAUCUACUCUCAGUCGGUGUUCCAGUUCCUAAAAAAUAUUGUACCUCCUGUUGUCAGCAAGGGGAAGCACCAUUGCUGCUGGAGCAAAAAGGCCCCAGGAGCUCCUGUUCAGUUUCCAAUCUCCUUCUCGUGUCCACCCACGAAUAUAUUAAGUUGUGGCUACAAGAAUAUGGCACCCACAUGCUCUUAAGGCUCCUGAGAAGACAUAUUUGGUUAAUUAUUGGAGAAGGAACAGUGGACUUCCACAUUGGCCAGUGAGAUAAUUUAAACAUCUGGACACCCAUGAAGCACAUCAAACCAUGGAAAGGACCAGAUGCAUAUGCAUAC
rnacentral:lncRNA from 1 species